ensembl:lncRNA
GGUGUCCAAUAGGAACGGAGCAUUCCCCGACACACAAAAGACAUGCUAAUGAAGCACCCGCGGCGUGGUCAGCGAGAGGGGGCGACGUGCUCCCAGACGGAGACUCUGUGCAUCCUAAUGAGACUUGAGGGGAGACAGUGUUGACACUGAUAGCCCUUCUGAACGGCCUCCACACUGGGUCCAAUGGAAGUCCUACACGACGCACGGUCGGAUCAUUUGGAGGUUUAUUGCCGGAAACAAUAGAAACCUCUCCCUGGUGGACCAGCGGAGGAGGGUGGAGUGAGGCAGAGGAAUAGGAGCAGAGACGAUCCGGGGGACGGCCAAACCCCCACCAAGAGGUUGAGGACCAGCUACGGGAAACAACCUCCCCAUGUGGAGGCUGUGGGGAAGGCAGAGGACAGUGGUCCCAGCUCCUCUGCAGGUGUUGAGCGCUCCGACCACAGCUCUGCCUGUAUCACCUCCUCCAGCAAGACCUGCAUGAUGACCUACAGCACAGCAGACUUUGAAGCUCUGUACAAGGAGCUGGAGCGGCUGGGACAAGGAGGAUUCGGGAGUGUCUUUGCUGGCUACCGGAGAGAGGACCGUCUGCCUGUGAGAGUGACACCACAGAACCACACUCCAUGUGCAAGCACAUACGUGUCAGAUCCACUCGAGGCAGAGGACUCCUCUGAGGCC